UACGUAGGGUGCGAGCGUUGUCCGGAAUUAUUGGGCGUAAAGAGCUCGUAGGCGGCCUGUCGCGUCGGAUGUGAAAGCCCGGGGCUUAACCCCGGGUCUGCAUUCGAUACGGGCAGGCUAGAGUGUGGUAGGGGAGAUCGGAAUUCCUGGUGUAGCGGUGAAAUGCGCAGAUAUCAGGAGGAACACCGGUGGCGAAGGCGGGUCUCUGGGCCAAAACUGACGCUGAGGAGCGAAAGCGUGGGGAGCGAACAGG
rnacentral:rRNA from 1 species